UACGUAGGUGGCAAGCGUUGUCCGGAUUUACUGGGCGUAAAGAGCGCGCAGGCGGUCGUUCAAGUCGCGUGUGAAAGCCCCCGGCUCAACUGGGGAGGGUCACGCGAUACUGAUCGACUCGAAGGCAGGAGAGGGUAGUGGAAUUCCCGGUGUAGCGGUGAAAUGCGCAGAUAUCGGGAGGAACACCAGUAGCGAAGGCGGCUCGCUGGGCCAUUCCUGACGCUGAGACGCGAAAGCUAGGGGAGCGAACAGG
rnacentral:rRNA from 1 species